AACCAUGUUACUAAGCACAUUCCUCAUCUGUCAAACAAGGAAAAGGCACCUCACUAAAGAUUUCAAUAAUUAAAUGAAGUAAUACAUGUACAAUACCUGGCAUAUUGUAAGUGUUCAAUAAAUGUUUGUUAUUCUUACAUUUCCCAAUCAAAACUUGUUAACUGACCUGCCCACAAAACAAGUCCAAAAUCUGUAGCCAGAGUUUCAAAUUUUUCCACAUCUGCCUCUGAACCACUCUUUUUUACACUUCCCCUUACUAUUGCAUUCUAUAGACUCUCCACCCCAAAUAUAUUGGUCUACUCUUUAUCUUCGAGAGGUUCCUGACUUAUUUGCAUCUCUUCAUAUCACUAUGCCUGAAUACCGCAGCCUCUUUACUUCUUUGAAAUGUACCCAUCUAAAUCAGAAAGCUUUCAGCUACAUGAAACAAGAAACCAGUCUAAACUAGGUUAAACAGUAAGGAAAUAUAUUGGUCUAGUGGUAAGACAGGUUUCAGAUUGGCUUGAUCCAGUGACUCUACCUCUGUUUCUUUGCAGUUGUCUUGGCAGUGCACUCCUCUAUAUUUCCUUGGCCCUCAGGCGGACUUACAUCUGGAAAAAUAGCUCGAGUAGUUCGAGGCUUCACAUCCAUGCACCUUGUUGUUGGAAGAAGAGAGAGAUUCUUCCCAGCAUUCCAAACAAAAGUCCUGAAAUUCACCUUGAGUGGGUCAUAUCCUCCUCUUCCCAUCCCCCACCCCAGUCCCAACCAAAUAAUGAAAUGCCCACGGGAAGUGGAAUGUGCCAUUGCUUGGAUUAAACCAACUACAGGCUCCAUCUGAAGCUUGAGAUGGGAUCAGCAUCCUCCAAAGUACUGGGGCUUAUGGUUGAGGCUGUCAUCCAGGUAAAGUCUGGAUGCUGCUAGUAAAGGGAAAGCAGGUAAUGAAAAUUCGUUAUCGAGCCAAGAAUGUCCACUCCACCAUCCCUAAGGCCCAGCUGAAGACCGUCUCUUUGACAAUGUCAGUUUCUACAAACACUGCCUUGACUUGCCUUAUGCUAUGCUCUUGCAAACAGGACUUUUUAUUGACAGUCUUCGUCCUUUGCAAAUGGAAGUGAUGACAGAUCCACUACUUUGUAUAAAAAUAUUUUGCUAUUUCUAUACAAAAUAUUUUAUAAAUGGAAACCACACAUUAUGUAUUUUACCAAAAUGUUAUGACUUGAAAUUUGGGUAUCUAAUAUGGCUCUAGUAAUAAAUGCUUCACAGUGCAACUGUUGCUUUGAUUU
rnacentral:lncRNA from 1 species